GGCGUGCUUACACAUGCAAGGCGAGGGGUGAAGCACCUUCGGGUGUGAAUUAGCGGCGAACGGGUGAGGAACACGUGAAGAAUCUGCCUUCAACUCUGGGAUACUCCGGGAAACCGGGGCUAAUACCGGAUAUGAGCCUUGAUCGCAUGAUCGGGGCUGGAAAGUUUUUCGGUUGAAGAUGACUUCGCGGCCUAUCANCUUGUUGGUGAGGUAAUGGCUCACCAAGGCGACGACGGGUAGCCGGCCUGAGAGGGCGACCGGCCACACUGGGACUGAGACACGGCCCAGACUCCUACGGGAGGCAGCAGUGGGGAAUAUUGGGCAAUGGAGGAAACUCUGACCCAGCGACGCCGCGUGAGGGAUGAAGGCCUUCGGGUUGUAAACCUCUUUCAGUAGGGAAGAAGCGAAAGUGACGGUACCUACAGAAGAAGCACCGGCUAACUAUGUGCCAGCAGCCGCGGUAAUACAUAGGGUGCAAGCGUUGUCCGGAAUUAUUGGGCGUAAAGAGCUCGUAGGUGGUUCGAUACGUCGGAUGUGAAAAUCAGGGGCUCAACCCCUGACCUGCAUCCGAUACGGUCGAGCUAGAGUUUGGUAGGGGAGACUGGAAUUCCUGGUGUAGCGGUGGAAUGCGCAGAUAUCAGGAGGAACACCGAUGGCGAAGGCAGGUCUCUGGGCCAAUACUGACACUGAGGAGCGAAAGCGUGGGGAGCGAACAGGAUUAGAUACCCUGGUAGUCCACGCCGUAAACGGUGGGCACUAGUUGUGGGAACCUUCCACGGUUUCCGCGACGCAGCAAACGCAUUAAGUGCCCCGCCUGGGGAGUACGAUCGCAAGAUUAA
rnacentral:rRNA from 1 species